UACGUAGGGUGCAAGCGUUGUCCGGAAUUAUUGGGCGUAAAGAGCUCGUAGGCGGUUUGUCGCGUCGGCUGUGAAAACCCGGGGCUCAACCCCGGGCCUGCAGUCGAUACGGGCAAACUAGAGUGUGGUAGGGGAGACUGGAAUUCCUGGUGUAGCGGUGAAAUGCGCAGAUAUCAGGAGGAACACCAGCGGCGAAGGCGGCGCUCUGGGCCGGAACUGACGCUGAGGAGCGAAAGCGUGGGUAGCAAACAGG
rnacentral:rRNA from 1 species